AUCAAAAAGGAAAAAAAAAAAAAAGAAGUAUUGUGGUUUCAAAUGCAAUUUCUCCCAUCACCACCCAGAGGCAUAUCCCCAUCCUGAGCCCCAGGACCUGUCAAUGGGCCUUAUUGGGAAAUAGGGGCUUUGCAGAUAUAAUUAAGGAUCUUGAGAGGAGAUUAUUCUGGGUUUAGGGAGGCCCUAAAUCCAAUGACUGGUGUCAUGAUAAGAGAAAGGGGUUGGAGGCUGAGACACAGACACCGGGGAGAAAGUGGGGCUUGGAGGGAUGUAGUCACAAGCCAAAGAAUGCCAGGAGCCACUGGAAGCUGGAAGAAUCCAGGAAGGAUUCUCUCUAGAGCCUUCAGAGAGAGAGGACCCGCCUGCAGAUACUUUGAUUUCAGGCUUCUGGCUCCAGACUGAGAGAAUACAUUUCUAUAUUUUAAGCUUCUGAGUUGAUGGUGAUUUCUUGCAGCACCUAUAGGAAACAAAUACAGAGGGGUCCAGCAGGGUAUGUUUCCCCUUAGUAAGGGGGUCUCCAAAGAAAUCUGAGAAUCAGAAAAGCAGGUCGUUUGGCUUGGUGACUUUCAAGGUGCUUCUAAGCCUCAACUUGUAUAACUCAGAUUGUUCUUACUCAACUGCAUUAUGUGCCUAUAAUUUAAUGUCCUGCUCUUAGAUUUAAUGUCAUUUGAUAUGACUCUCUAUGUAAUUUCAUCUGUUUGUCUCUAAUGACUACAUAAUAUGCCAUCAGAUGAAUGUAUCAUAAUUUGCUAAGCCUCUCUUGCUGUUGAUGACAACAGUUUAAAUAUUUUUUACUGUUAUAAACAGUGCUGCUUGCAGACCUUGCUGCUUAGGCAACCAUCUUUCUUGUGAUGUCCUACGCCCAUGGUUCUCAAUUGGAGGUGAGAUAGUUGGCGCCAUCUGAAGAUUUUAAUUAUCACAAGUUGUUGCGAGGGUUGCUACUAUUGUCUAGAGGCCAGGGGUGCUGCUCCACACCCUACUUAACAGCACAUCUUUCCAUAGCAAAUACCAUCUAGUCCAAAAGGUCCACAGUGAUGAGGUUGAGAAAAUAUGCCUUAGAAUAAAAUCUUGGGAGUGGAAUCCGUAGGUCCUUGGGUUUGACUUGAUCUCUGCUGGAGGAGUAUAAACAUCUGCCUGACAGUCCCCUUCUGGUCCGUGGCAGAUCCAGGGCCACAGCUGGACAGACUGCAGCCCAGGGCUGUCAUAAUCCAGCUGCUCCUCCUCCACAGUUUCCACCAGGAAACCAUCCAACCAGGUGUUUCAGGACCGAGAACAGAUGAAAGAUAAAUACACGUGGGUCAUUGGGGCUGAGGCUCUUCAUGUCUUUGGGGAAAUGAAGUUGACUCUGUCUCUAAAGGAAACAUUGAUUCUGACUAUUUUAGGAAGAGUUCCCUCGGCACUCCAGUCCACACUGUCCAGUUGUAUCACAAACACCCCUCAUUGCCUGCACUGCUCGUGAAGGCACUUUAAAUGUUCUGGUGUAUGGUAGGCUCUUAAUGGAUGCUUGGAAAAUGUCUGAAUGCUUAUCAGUUGAAGAGCUUUCUGUAAACCAUCCUGGAUGUGAAUAGCUUCUGAAACAGUGAUGGUAGGAAAAUACAUGGUCACUGAAAUGUGGAAGGGUCCAGGAAGAACCUCCAGCCUCUCCUGCAUCACAUGAGACUUGCGGGGGUGCCCCUAACUGGAAGAUGGAGGGACCCAAUCUGUCCAUGUUCCCAGACUGCAGUUCACAGGUGCAUCCCUUCCAGGUCAGUUGGGAGCUCAUUAACAUUGCAGAUGGUGACUUCAUAGGUUUAAGAUCCAUCACCUCCCUAAAGCCCAGAGCCACGUUUCUAUGUGGAUAGGUGACUCCCUUUCCUCCUCCACGAUGGCAGAAGGAGCUUGGGUGAUCAAGAGAAGUGAUCUGGGCAAGACACUCUUCCUUGUCAGUGAGUGUGAUGAAAUUCUGUAAUAAAGCACAGGGCAUGGAGGGGGCGCAUAGUCCUCUAGCAUAAUAAGGUGAGGAUUAUUAUCUCGCCAGCCAAGUGGAAGGAAUACAGAUUUCUCAUGAGGACCAGACAAAAGUUUUCAGAAUGACAUCAAUCCUCAUCACAGUAUAAGGUGCUAGUUCGUUUCAGAUCCUUUAAGGGGAAAAACAGUCAGGAUUCAGAGGAAAGCCUUUUGUCUUCAUGUCUCAUCCUCUGCCCUCAAGCAUCGUCCAGAAUUCCCUCCCCACCCCACCACAUCCUACCCCUUGGAAACCAUAGCGUGCUCCUUCUUUUUACCAAAGUAAGGGGUGGUAUCAGAAAAAGGUCGCUGGGAUUAAGAGGAUGUUUCAAGCAUUAGAAAGCUGGAGAGAUGGGGAUUUCAUUCCUCUGCCAGGAGAACACAUUUGGGGCAAGGUGAGGGGGAGGGGAUGCCAAAGGGAGAGGAUCUUGAAGGAAAAGAGCUGCAGGAAGGUGGACAGAAGUGUGAAAGAUGGGUCAGCCAUGCAGGCGGCACUUCUCCUCUUUGUGAGGCACGUGGGGACCAGGACAGAGGCCAAGGGCUGAUGCCUGAAUCCCAUUUCCCAGGCUUUCCCCUAAGGCUGGAUGAGUGUGACCAGAUCCUUGCAGGAGGAAGCUGCUGCCUUGGGUCCCAGAGUGCACUGGGUUGGAGGAAUACAGGAGGAGAGAAAGAAGGAAAUUGACACCCCCAUUGCUAUGGUCAUCUAAUGGGUAAAAACUCAUCCUCUUCACCAAUUAUUGGUUGACAAGAAGUAUUUGCCUUCAGACUGUGAACCAGCUGGAAAAAGAUAAAUAGAACACUCCUUAAUUAGCAUUGCUCUCUGCGGGAUGGUAAACAUGGGUCUUUUAUGCAGAUUAUAUUCAGAGAAGAAAGCUGAGAACCGAAAGGUCUAUUAUUAAUCAGGUUAAAAUAGAAUUUUGGGUCCAGGACACCAAGCAUGGGCUUAUCCCUGCAUCUGUCUCGGUGUCCUGGAAGGAGAGAGGGGACCCACCUGCAUGUCUCUGGGGGAAGGCGAUGCAUGCCAAACAGAGUGGUCCACACAGCCAAGGGAGAGGGCGUGAUGUCACCCUUUGUGUACCGCAUGAAGGCAAUAAAUCCCAGCAUGCGACGCAUAGCUCUUAACAUCUCCCCUCCGUGUUGCAGUGAAACUGAGAGGGACUUUGAGCUCCAAAAACAUGGAGAGUCUUUGAAAGGUACGGACCAUUUCAGCAGGUACGCACCUCCCCGAGGGACAGUUUGGCUGCAGUGGAGCAGGGCAAAGACUUGGGCUGGGAGUACAGAGACCCUGUCAUCUGGCACUCAGGGGACAAUGUCCCCUGGACUCCUUUCAGCGGGGGCUUUCAUGAUCUUAAAGGAACAAAAUGUCUUUCCUGCACACACACACAAAAAUGUUCAUAGUCCUCGUCUUCUUAUCCAUCCAACCUCAAUCAAAACGUCCCCUCUUUCUUGCUGUUUUAUUUAUUUUUUCCAAGAAUUGAGCAUAUUGGCAUACUUCCUUGCUGUCUUUUCCUUACUUUUCUUUGCUGAUUUUAUCCGAAGUUGUGAAGUCUGAGAGGUGGAAGUGGAGGAGGCAGUGACCAUGGUGAUGAGAGGACAGACUAUAAGUAGUCAAACAUUUAACACUUACAGAUUUACUCAUGUUCUCAGCAGUAAGAUGCACUUACGGAGCCCCUGUCAUAUUGGCAUUGGAGGGACAAGCAGGGUGAAUAAGACAGGUCUAGUUAAUGAGACAAAGCAUGUAUCUUGAUUGCUACCAUACCAAGAGGAAAACCGGUGCCCCAAGAUGUGCCUAUAAAAUAGGAUUUGAGAGAGAACUUUUAGCUCAAGAGAUCAUGGAAGGCCUUGUGGGGUCUUGCGAUGACAUUUUGGUUGGACCUCAAGAGCACGUAGGGUUCAAGCGGGGGAGUGUGGAAAGUAGUCGUGAUUAUUGGCAAAAGAACUUGAUAAAAUAGUAACAAGGAGUUUAGGUUAAAUAUUGAGGAUGGUAAAUUGUAUAGGUUGGGUGAGGUUUAGGUCAAGCGUACGUGGGAAGUAGUGGAGAUUAUGUUUGAGAGUUUAUGUCGGUAUCAGAUGUUGGGCCAUAUUUGAUGGAUUACAAUGGCUGCACAGGAGCUGUGUUUGCUAAGCGUGGUCCUUCACCCACACUCACAGACACAGGUGAGAGGAAUAGUUACGAGGGAGAACAGUUAUAAGGCUAGUUCGGUGGCCCUCAAAAAAGAUGAUGAAGACGUGAACAGCAACAAUAAAAUCUGGAAUGGAGAGGAGAGUUAAGCUGGAGGAUACAUGGCAGAUAAAUUGACAGGAUUUAUCACUGGUCAUUUAUCAAGCCAAGGGAGAAGGUGAAGUUCAAGAUGACUUCAAGGUCUCCAGAAGGUGAAGGAGAAAUCAGAGGACUCUCUUAUGAAAAGUGGGGAACAAAGGAAAACCGGCAGAUUCUGGAGGGAAGAGCAGAUGUUUGGUUUGGGAAGCAUUGACUGUGUCAGUCCCCUGGGCUAUCUGAGUGGAGACAUAGAGCAGCUCUUUUUCUGCAAUUGCAAGGUUGUAGUUUCAAAAUCAGGAGGCUUCAGAAUAGAGAUUAUAAUUAGUGCAACCAAGCCGGCUGAGAUUGUCAAAAACAAGUCUAGAGAAAGAAGAGAAGAAUGGAGUAGAGAAGAAAAGACAGGUAAGGUCAGAUCUUUAGAUAAGCUAUGGUUUAAAAGCAAAAAAAAAAAAA
rnacentral:lncRNA from 1 species